GAAGCCAAGCCGCUACGUGGCGCUAGCAACAGUCACCAUGUGUUUACGUCUGUAAUUUCAAUGACUUGAGGACGAAAAUGUGAGAAAAGCAUGGCAAGCAGCUUUAAAGAAACGAUAUAACUAUCAACUCAAAACAAGCUGUAUGCCAUCAUCACUUUUUAAGUAGUGAUAUUUUGUGGAAACGUGAAAUUUGUGAUGAGAAGGGAAAUGUUCUUGGUGUGUCUGCGCCAUUUAAAAUUCCAAGGCUAUGUAAAGGGGUUGUGCCUUCACAAUUCCCCUGGUUUGAAGAAACUCCAAAUAUAGAAGAUACAUAUUCUAUACAUAUUGAUCAAAAUGUACACGACCUGCAUAUUGAACAACAUGAAGAAAAUGAACAUGUGAUAGUACCAUCAUUAAAUAAUACAAUAGAGGAUCGUACGACAAUGUUAUCAUUUGAUAGCUUAAUAGAUAGUAUAAACAGAAAACAGUUUAAUAUGCCAAGUCAAUGGAUGCAUAUACAAUAUUGCAGUAGUGACACACGAUUAUUGGUAUUUUUUUUAGCAACAUGCAACAAAAUAGAAAAUUAUAAUGACAGAUAUUCAUUUAACCCUAUCAAAGAAGUCAUACUCAAAGAAGAUAUGACAUUACAAAUAAAUGUCUUAAAGCAACCCGUUUUAAAUAUUCCAUCACACAUACAGAUUUAUAAUAAUAUCAAUAUAAUAGAACUGCUACAAGAGACAUUAUUUUUUUUUGAUAGCCUUGACAUAUGUUGUGGUACAAAUAAAAGUGAGAUUAAAGAUGUUGAAUAUAAUGAAGCUUUUAAAGAUAUUAAUGGUAUAUGGAGACACAAGAAAUGUUUAUUACUUUCAUCCCAGAAAUGUAAAUUUUGUGCCAUUGCAAACAAAUCUAUAAAUCAAAAAUACCGUCGGAGAAAAAUAAUAAAAUCAAUUAAAAG